rnacentral:lncRNA from 1 species
UGCGGGUUAUACUCGAGGAUUUGCGGUAUUCCUCAUACUUACACAUAUGUAUAUGUCAAGAAAGAUGAUUAGAUAGAUACUGAGAAAGGAAAAGAAUUGAUGAAGUAUGUAAACAAGUCGGUGAGAAACAGAGAGGGAGAGAGAUAGAUAGACAGAAAGAGAGAUGGUAAAAUUGAUUCAAAAUAGCUGAAAGAAGACAAGAUAAAACAUCAAAAGAAAACGGAGUGAUAGCUGGAGCAAAAACAUUAAAACUGACAGAAUGAAAGAAGCCUCUCAUUUUUCAGAAGCAUUGUGUGAAUAUACGUACAUAUAUACGUACAAGUGUGUAUACAUGUAUGUAUGUAUGUAGGUUUGGGUGUGUGUGAGACAGUGGGCAUGUGUGUUUUACGUUUAAUCGUUGCUUAACCAGUGUUGAACACUGUUAAUAUCGAUCAAUGACAUUAGUAUAAGACAGUAAUAGGUAGUUACUAUCGAAGCGAAGGACGAAAACCCUUUUGAGGGCGGAGCCCCAGUUUCGCUGCAACCUAAUUAGUUAGUGCAAGCAGUAAAUACAUUAAAACACACACACACACACACACGCAUAUAUGCAUACAUAUACUUAUAUAUAUAUAUAUAUAUAUAUAUAUAUAUAACACACACACACACACACACACACACACACACACACAUAUAUAUAUAUAUAUAUACAUACGUAUAUAUAGAUAUUUACAUAUGCAUAUAUAUAUAUAUACGUACAUAAAUACAUACAUGUAUAUAUAUAUAUGUGUGUGUAUAUAUAUAUAUAUAUAUAUAUGUAUAUAUAUAUAUAUGUAUAUGUAUAUCUAUAUAUAUGUAUAUAUGUAUAUAUAUAUAUAUAUAUAUAUAUAUAUAUAUAUAUAUAUAUAUAUAUAUAUAUAUAUAUAUAUAUUUAUAUACGUAUAUAUAUGUCUUUGUGUAUGUAUUACAUUAGUUAAAGCGCUCACAGAGUCCAUUGUCUAAUUGUCUUCGACAUUGUCCAAUUGUCCAUCCAUUGUUUCUUUAUUGUCCAUCCAUUGUCCACCCAAUUGUCUACCUCUACACUUCCCCACUCACCCUUCUUUCUUUGUCUGUCUGUCUGUCUGUCUGUCUCUGUCCAUUUGUCUCUCUAUCUGUCUGUCUCUCUCUGUCUCUCUGUCUCUCUGUCUCUCUCUCAGUUUCACUUUCUCUAUUAUAUUUAUUAGACAGGAAUCGAAAGGCGGUAACAAUACACACACACACACACACACACACACACACACACACACACACACACACACACACACACACACACACGCGCGCACACAUCCUUCCUUCCUUCAAUAGGUUGUUGACAUCAAUGCGUGAGAAGCGGAAACUGUCCAAGUAAUUUCAUAUAAAAAAAAAAAUGACAAAAAAAAAAAAUGACAAAAAAAAAAAUGACAAAAUAUAAAAAUGAAAAUAACAAAAGCAACAACAAUUGCCGAAUAAAUAAAUAAAUAUAAAUAAACAACAAGUGAAUAUUCUCGGCAUAUCUAUUAAAUAUGUAUAAACCUGUAAUGUGCCUCUGUGUAUAUGUGUGUAUGUGUACAUAUAUAUAUUUAUAUAUAUUCAUUAUAUAUAUAUAUAUAUAUAUAUAUAUAUAUAUAUAUAUAUGUAUAUGUGUGUGCGUGCCUGUGUGUAUAUAAUGCUAUGUUACUCCAUAAUAAUCCUAUUUAAUAUAUAUAUAUAUCUAUAUAUGUGUGUAUGUGUGUGUGUAUGUAUACAUACAUACAUAUAUGUAAUAUGACAUACAAACUCAUACACAUAUACAUACAUGAUACAUACAUAUAUAUACGUAUGUGUGUGUAUAUAUAUAUACAUGUAUAUCAAUAUAUCUCUCUAGUUAUAUGUAUAUAUAUAUUGUGUGUGUAUAUAUACCUAUAUAUAUAUAUAUAUAUAUAUAUAUAUAUAUAUAUAUAUAUACAUACAUACAAUAUAUAUAUACACAUGCGUAUAUAUAUGUAUGUAUAUAUGUGUAUGGGUUUCUAGGUCAUAUUACAUAUACGUAUGUAUGUAUACAUACACACACACACAUAUAUAUAUAUAUAUAUAUUAAUAAGGAUAUAUAUACAUAUAUAUAUAUAUACAUACAUACAAUAUAUAUAUAUACAUACAUAUAUAUAUGUAUACACAUAUAUAUACCUAUAUAUACAUACAUGCAUAUAUAUAUAUAUAUAUAUAUAUAUAUAUAUAUAUAUAUAUAUAUGUAUGUAUGUAUGUAUAUAUGUAAUAACGCUAAACCAACGUAAGGAAAUGAGUUGAGAUAAGAUCAGCUCGCAACACCCAUUUUAAAUUAUUAUAGGGUCACUUUAUGUAUAAGAGUCCUUAUGUGAACGCUGAUUAACAUUGUGCACAUAUUUGCGCGCCUGCGUGUACAUACAUACAUACAAACAAACACAUACACAUAUAUCUACACACACAUAUUUAUAUAUAUAUAUAUAUAUAUAUAUAUAUAUACUAGCAGUAUCGCCCGGCGUCGCUCGGGUUUGUAAGGGAAAUAACUAUUUAAGCAUUUUUAGAGUUAUAGCCAAAAAAUAGCAAAAAAAUGGGAAAAAAAAUGAUGGUAAAUUUUUUAAAAAAUCGUUGACUCAUCGUAGAAAUUUUUAGAGAGUUACUUCCCUUAUAUAAUAGCGAAAAAAUGCAUUAAAAUGGAAAAAAAUGAUGGUAAAUUAUUUUUUAAAUCGUAGACUCAUCGUAGACGCGCGCUAAUACACAGAAGGGCUCGAUAUGAAUCACGACUAUAAGAUACCCGGUUUUGGUUAAACUGCACCGCAAAAUGUGGGAGUAGUUAGUAAUCUAAAUCGUAGGAGACAGACACACAACCUCUCUUUUAUAUAUAAAGAUAUAUAUAUAUAUAUAUAUAUAUAUAUAUAUAUAUAUAUAUAUAGAGAGAGAGAGAGAGAGAGAUAGACAUACAUACAUACAUAAUUUCGAAAAUCGAGGUCGAUUUUGACUUUGAUUCUUCCAGAGUCGAUAAGAUAAGUACCAGUUGAAUACUGGGGUCGAUGUAAUUCGAACUAUCUAUUCAGCUCCCCCUAAAUUAUUGGCCUUGUGCCCAAAACUAGCAGAUCAGCUAUUGCGGCUACUGGACUCCAAUCAAGCUUAAAAAAAAAAAAAUGAAAGAGUUGAAGACCAAAAUCUUCUUGGGGCAGAACUUUCAUAACCAGCAUGAGAUAGAAAAUCGUGUGGAAAACCGCAGCCAAGAAACCAAACCUGUGGUUUCAACUUGCUGUCCAAAGUGGCUAGCGAACGCAGGAGGAUCUGAAACUGAACUGAACGGCUCUGAUACAGUGUUUAGGAAACCUAUUUCUUUACUACUCACAAGGGGCUAAACACAGAGAGGACAAACAAGGACAGACAAACGGAUUAAGUCGAUUAUAUCGACUCCAGUGCGUAACUAGUACUUAUUUAAUCGACCCCGGAAGGAUGAAAGGCAAAGUCGACCUCGGCGGAAUUUGAACUCAGAACAUAGCGGCAGAUGAAAUACCUAUUUCUUUACUAGCCACAAGGGGCUAAACACAGAGAGGACAAAGGACAGACAAACGGAUUAAGUCGAUUUUAUCGACUCCAGUGCGUAACUGGUACUUAUUUAAUCGACCCCGGAAGGAUGAAAGGCAAAGUCGACCUCGGCGGAAUUUGAACUCAGAAUGUAACGGCAGACGAAAUACGGCUACGCAUUUCGCCCGGCGUGCUAACGUUUCUGCCAGCUCGCCGCCUUACAGUGUUUCGGAAACCAACGAAGGCUGACUUUGCAAAAUUGUAGGACUGGAGUUGAAAGAUCACCCGUUUAUUUUUAGAAUUAAGUUUUGCAUUAAUCUUAAUGAUGUUGGGUUUGUCAUGUCCUGUUACGUUUAAAAGUACUUGGUUUGUUGCUGUCGUUGUUCGGCAGAAUAUAUCUAUCUGAUCGUCUAGAUAUUGAUUUUCAGAACAGAUGGUAAGUCAGUCCUGUUGGUUAGUGAACAGUUGGCAUAUCCGUGAAUGAUCGUCCUCACUUGCACAGGCGUGACUGCGUGGGAAGAAACCUACUUCCUCAAUCAUAUGGUCUUGCUUUCAGUCCCACUGUGCGCGGUACCUUAUCUAUCUGUGUGUGUGUGUGGGUUGGUUGGUGGGUGUUUGUGUUUGUGUCAGUUCCCUAACUACCGCUUAUCAACCGGUGUCUGUUUAUUUAUCUCCCUGUAACCUAGCAGUCCAGCAGCCGUCCAAGAAUUUGAACCUGGAGAUCUCCAUUUCCAGCGACUUCGAGGGCCACCUCCCAGUGGUGUCGGGCGUCAACGAAGAGCCCUCGACUACAACAAGACCACCAAAGUUUUUUCUUUCCAAGGUCUGGGGUCUCCCGCCCCUAAGCCCUAGAUCAUCACCUAAUCACCUUUACAACAACAACAACAACAGCAGUCCAGCAAAGAUACCGAUAGAAUAAUUACCAGGCUUGAAAUAAUAAAACAAUGUGGGCCGAUUUGUUGGACUAAAUCUUUCAAGGCGGUGCCCCAGCAUGGCCACAAGCCAAUGACUGAAACAAACAAAAAUAAUAAAUGACGAAAAAAAUGGCAAACAAUAAGAGUAAAACACAUUUAUGGCCCGAGUAAUUUGCAUAAAUGAAAAUGCAAAUACCUAGGGGAAAUAACCGAGUGUGACUAAUGGCAUGUAUUUGUACAACGGUCAAAUAAGGCGCUGGCGUGGCUGUGUGGUAAGAAGCUUGCUUCCCAACCACAUGGUUUGGGGUUCAGUUUCACUGCGUGGCGCCUUGGGCUAGUGUCCUCUACCAUAGCCUCGGGGCGACCAAAUCCUUGUGAGUGGAUUUGGUAGACAGAAACUGAAAGAAGCCUGUCGUAUACAUACAUACAUACAUACAUACAUACAUACAUACAUACAUACAUACACACACACACAAAUAUAUGUUUAUGUGUGUGUAUAUAUAUAUAUAUAUACACACACAUAUAUAUGUAUAUAUAUAUAUGUAUGUAUGUAUGUAUGUAUGUAUGUAUGUAUACAUGCAUGUAUGUAUGUAUGUAUGUAUGUAUGUAUGUAUGUAGGUAUGUAUAUAUGUCUGUAUGUAUGUAUGUAUGUAUGUAUGUAUGCGUAUAUAUCGUACGUCAUCACCGCUUGCCCACUGCUGUUGGUGUGUUUACGUCCGCGUAACUUAGCUGUUGAGUAAAAGAACCGAUAGAAUAAGUACCUUGCUUAAAUGAAAAAAAAAAAAAUUAAAAUAAGUACCGAGGUCGAUUCGUUCGACUAAAAUUCUUCUUCAAGGCCCUGUCCCAGCUGAGCCGCAGUCUAAUGGACAGAAACAAAUAACAAAAAAAUUCGUUUUGUGCUUUAAUAUCGCUGCGUUUAGUCCCAAAUCAAUAAUAUGCUAUUCUCUCUGUCUUUACCUCUCUCACUCUCUCCCUCUGUCUUCUGUCUCUCUCUCUCUCUGUCUGUCUCUCUCUCUCUCUCUCUCUCUGUCUCUCUCUCUCUCCUUCAGAUAUUUAUUGUAUACUUUUCUAGUUUCUUUAACCGAUUUGUACUGGAUUGGUCUAUGAGUAAGUAGCACUUUUUGCUUUCAGUUCCUGCCAAUGAGAGGGCUUCGCUGUUGUUCAUAAUAAGGCUGCGUAUCUUUUCUUCUCUUUCUAAUUUUUCCUUCCACGUUUGUCGCUGAAAUUAAGCAACAGUGUAUGUUUAAGUAUAGUAUUCGAAUAUCUCGCUGUAUUUCUCCUGUCUUUCUUCUAGAAUAUAUAUUUGCAGCCUUAUUAAUAAAGCAUAUUACUCUACCUCUGGUAUUCGAGUACUAUUUUUUUCUACCUUGUUUCACAUUUAUGUGCUUACUCUGGUGUAUAUAUAUAUAUAUAUUAUAUAUAGAGAUAUAAACUCGGAGUUCUAUCAUGGCUGCCGAAUAAUUGUCACAAAUUACAUUUACAGAUAAAUUCCUCUAUUUACAUAAUAUCGAGGUCUCUUUCAUUCUUUUGUUGUCUUACCAUUUUUAUCAAUAUAUAUAUAUAUAUAUAUGACUUAAUAGAUUGAAUGGUACUGCCCAGGUGUCGAAACCAUAAUGAUAUCGUGGGGCAGCUGAUGAUAGAGGUAUGUUGCAUUGUUGGUAUGGCUGUGGAAUCGUAUUAUAACAUAUCCUUUUGAUAUAUAUAUAUAUAUAUAUAUAUAUAUAUAUAUAUAUAUAUAUAUAUAUAUAUGCAUCUGUAUAUAUGUAUAUAUGGGUGUAUAUAUAUAUAUAUGCUGGGGUUAAUUCGUUAGACUAACAUGCAUCAGUCGGUGCUCCAGCAUGGCUGCAGUCGGAUGAAUAAAACAAGCAAAAGGCAAAUGAGAAAAGAUGUACAAACAUGUAUGUAUGUAUAUAUAUAUAUAUGCAUGUAUGCAUGUAUGCAUGCAUGCAUGCAUAUAUGCGUGUAUGCAUGUAUGUAUGCAUGUACAUAUGUGUCUAUGUAUCUGUGCUUGAAUGUAUGUUUGUAAGUAUGCAUGUACGUUUGUCUGUAUGUAUGCAUGUAUGUAUGUAUUCAUGCAUGCAUAUAUGCAUAUUGUUUGUGUGAGUAUAUAUAUAUGUAUAUAUAUAUAUAUAUGUAUAUAUGCGUGUAUAUGUGUAUAUAUGUAUGUAUGUAUGUAUAUGCAGAUUUGUAUGUUCUAUGUAUGUAUUCUCAUGCGUAUAGUUGCAUAUCUAGACAUGCUCAUAUACAUUUAAAUGAUGAAUUUCUGGAUAUAUGUGUGUAUGCAUGCAUGCAUGUACGUAUGUAGGAAAAACGUGGGAGUUAUAUACAUUUAGAGAAGCAUAUGAUGAGAGGGAUGUAAUCUUAGUUGAUCGUCUGGCUUGAAGGAACAUAAUGGAUGCGAAUGAUGUUCUUGCAGUCAAAGAAAAAAAAAAGAAAGAAAGAAGUACGGUAAGGGUAUCAUCAUGAGCUUCUCCUGCUCUUGGCCUCUUGUUCUAGCGAAAACCAUAUAUGCUCGACUCAUGUAUGUUAAUCCAGAAGCACUCUGGAGAAUUUUGUAAGUUUCUGUUACAUUUUGUCCAGUUUAACAGAAAACUUAAUUGCCGAGCGAUCUUGCAAAUUUUUCUUCGCUUCCUGGCUGCAUUCUGCAAAUCUAGUCAGCUGUGACAAGCAAGUGUUUGACGAUGUCUCUUCAAAAUGCCGUAACAGCCGUUUCCUUGAAUUUGAAACAGUAAAAGUUGGCCGGUCAGUUUAUUAGGAGUAUAAUAAAGGGAUGCUAAAAUUACAGUUAUCUAGGUUUCUUUGCAACUGUCUUCCUUUAACAAAAUAAUGUCUGAAAACAUCUGGUAUACACCUCUUUCUUUUUUUAUUCCAUUAAAAAGAAAAGCUCUACUUUGUAAUUUGCCCCCUCCAUCAUAUCUAUCUAUCUAUCUAUCUAUCUAUCUAUCUAUCUAUCUAUCUAUCUAUCUAUCUAUCUAUCUAUCUAUCUAUCUAUCUAUGUAUCUCUCUCUCUCUCUCUCUCUCUCUCUCUAUCUAUCUAUCUAUCUAUCUAUCUAUCUAUCUAUCUAUUUGUCUGUCUGUCUGUCUGUCUGUCUGCCUGUUUGUCUAUCUAUCUAUCUGUCUUUCUGUCCGUCUGUCUGUCUGUCUGUCUCUCUCUCUCUCUCUCUCUCUCUCUCUCUAUAUAUAUAUAUAUAUAUAUGUAUAUAUAUAUAUACAUAUAUAUAUAUAUAUAUAUAUAUAUAUAUACACAUCCAUCCAUCCAUCCAUCCAUCGAUACAUACAUACACACAUACAUACACAUACACACACGCGCGCGCGCACGUAUGUACAUAUGUGUAGAGCUGGGUGUAUAUAGCCAUUGGUAUUUACUGCUGCAUUUGAACUUAUUCAACUCUAUUAACAGCUUCUAUCCUCUGAGGUUAUGUAAAUUUCAUAUCGCCUGAGCCACCGGGUAUCUCCACUCGUGCUUGUACUUUCAACAAUCUCACCAUCCUUUUAUCUAAUAUUCAUACAUACAUCCAUGCACGCGCUUGUAUGUGUCUGUGUGCGUGUAUGUGUGUGUGUGUACAUAUAUAUGUGUGUGUGUGUGUGUGUGUAGAAUGUAUAUAUGUGUGUUGUGUAAAUAUAAACGUAUACUUACCUAGUUUUGUUUCUAUUGACAGGAGACUUGUGUACCUAUCGCCAACUAUGUCAUAAUGUUAUUUUACACACGGUA